rnacentral:rRNA from 1 species
AACGAACGCUGGCGGCAUGCCUAACACAUGCAAGUCGAACGAGACCUUCGGGUCUAGUGGCGCACGGGUGCGUAACGCGUGGGAACCUGCCCUUAGGUUCGGAAUAACUCCCCGAAAGGGGUGCUAAUACCGGAUAAUGUCUUCGGACCAAAGAUUUAUCGCCUUUGGAUGGGCCCGCGUUGGAUUAGCUAGUUGGUAGGGUAAAAGCCUACCAGGGCGACGAUCCAUAGCUGGUCUGAGAGGAUGAUCAGCCACACUGGGACUGAGACACGGCCCAGACUCCUACGGGAGGCAGCAGUGGGGAAUAUUGGACAAUGGGCGAAAGCCUGAUCCAGCAAUGCCGCGUGAGUGAUGAAGGCCUUAGGGUUGUAAGGCUCUUUUACCCGGGAUGAUAAUGACAGUACCGGGAGAAUAAGCUCCGGCUAACUCCGUG